UACGUAGGGUGCGAGCGUUAAUCGGAAUUACUGGGCGUAAAGCGUGCGCAGGCGGUUCGUUGUGUCGGCGGUGAAAGCCCCGGGCUUAACCCUGGGAAUGGCCGUUGAAACUGGCGAACUGGAGUGUGGCAGAGGGGGUGGAAUUCCGCGUGGUAGCAGUGAAAUGCGUAGAGAUGCGGAGGAACACCGAUGGCGAAGGCAGCCCCCUGGGCUGACACUGACGCCUCAGGUACGAAAGCGUGGGGAGCAAACAGG
rnacentral:rRNA from 1 species